rnacentral:rRNA from 1 species
UACGUAGGGUGCGAGCGUUGUCCGGAAUUAUUGGGCGUAAAGGGCUCGUAGGUGGCCAACUAAGUCAGACGUGAAAUCCCUCGGCUUAACCGGGGAACUGCGUCUGAUACUGGAUGGCUUGAGUUUGGGAGAGGGACGCGGAAUUCCAGGUGUAGCGGUGAAAUGCGUAGAUAUCUGGAGGAACACCGGUGGCGAAGGCGGCGUCCUGGACCAACACUGGCACUGAUGAGCGAAAGCCAGGGGAGCGAACGGG